CGGAACGUACCCAUUUGUGGGGGAUAACUAUCCGAAAGGAUAGCUAAUACCGCAUAAGUCCUGAGGGAGAAAGCAGGGGAUCGCAAGACCUUGCGCGAAUGGAGCGGCCGAUGCCGGAUUAGCUAGUUGGUAGGGUAAAGGCCUACCAAGGCGACGAUCCGUAGCUGGUCUGAGAGGAUGAUCAGCCACGCUGGAACUGAGACACGGUCCAGACUCCUACGGGAGGCAGCAGUGGGGAAUUUUGGACAAUGGGGGCAACCCUGAUCCAGCCAUUCCGCGUGAGUGAAGAAGGCCUUCGGGUUGUAAAGCUCUUUCGGCAGGAACGAAACGGUGGGGGCUAAUACCCUCCGCUAAUGACGGUACCUGAAGAAGAAGCACCGGCUAACUACGUGCCAGCAGCCGCGGUAAUACGUAGGGUGCGAGCGUUAAUCGGAAUUACUGGGCGUAAAGCGUGCGCAGGCGGUUCUAUAAGACAGAUGUGAAAUCCCCGGGUUUAACCUGGGAACUGCGUUUGUGACUGUAGGACUCGAGUGUGGCAGAGGGGGGUGGAAUUCCACGUGUAGUAGUGAAAUGCGUAGAGAUGUGGAGGGACACCGAUGGCGAAGGCAGCCCCCUGGGUCAACACUGACGCUCAUGCGCGAAAGCGUGGGUAGCAAACAGGAUUAGAUACCCUGUAGUCCACGCCCUAAACGAUGCGAACUAGGUGUUGGGGAAGGAGACUUUCUUAGUACCGCAGCUAACGCGUGAAGUUCGCCGCCUGGGGAGUACGGUCGCAAGAUUAAAACUCAAAGGAAUUGACGGGGACCCGCACAAGCGGUGGAUGAUGUGGAUUAAUUCGAUGCAACGCGAAAAACCUUACCUACCCUUGACAUGCCAGGAACUUGCCAGAGAUGGCUUGGUGCCCGAAAGGGAGCCUGGACACAGGUGCUGCAUGGCUGUCGUCAGCUCGUGUUGUGAGAUGUUGGGUUAAGUCCCGCAACGAGCGCAACCCUUGUCAUUAGUUGCCAUUAUUUAGUUGGGCACUCUAAUGUGACUGCCGGUGACAAACCGAAGGAAGGUGGGGAUGACGUCAAGUCCUCAUGGCCCUUAUGGGUAGGGCUUCACACGUCAUACAAUGGUCGGUACAGAGGGUUGCCAAGCCGCGAGGUGGAGCCAAUCCCAGAAAGCCGAUCGUAGUCCGGAUCGGAGUCUGCAACUCGACUCCGUGAAGUCGGAAUCGCUAGUAAUCGUGGAUCAGCAUGUCACGGUGAAUACGUUCA
rnacentral:rRNA from 1 species